ensembl:ncRNA C04A2.9 ncRNA
GUGUUGAGAUAUUGAAGGGGAAGAAGAUACGCAUACAUAAGAUGUCUAUUCAGAUUAUAACUAUUAAAGAGUACAGGAAAUUACUCAAAUUUCAGAUUUUUGAAUUA